GAUGAAGAACGUAGUGAAAUGCGAUAAGUAGUGUGAAUUGCAGAAUUCAGUGAAUCAUCGAAUCUUUGAACGCACAUUGCGCCCUUUGGUAUUCCAAAGGGCAUGCCUGUUCGAGCGUCAUUUGUACCCUCAAGCUUUGCUUGGUGUUGGGCGUCUUGUCUCUAGCUUUGCUGGAGACUCGCCUUAAAGUAAUUGGCAGCCAGCCUACUGGUUUCGGAGCGCAGCACAAGUCGCACUCUCUAUCAGCAAAGGUCUAGCAUCCAUUAAGCCUUUUUUUCAACUUUUGACCUCGGAUCAGGUAGGGAUACCCGCUGAACUUAAGCAUAUCAAUAAGCGGAGGA
rnacentral:misc_RNA from 1 species